GCCUAGCCCUAAAAUAACAAUUAAAUUACUUAUUGUUCGCCUAAUAACUACGAGUUAAAACUUAAAAUUUAAAAGACUUGACGGUACUUCACAACAACCUAGAGGAGCCUGUCUAAUAACCGAUACCCCACGAUUAACCCCACCCGCCCUGGCCAGUCAGUCUAUAUACCGCCGUCGCCAGCUUACCUUAUGAAAGAAACAAAGUGAGCCAAACAACAUACAUUAACACGACAGGUCGAGGUGUAACUAAUGAGCGGGUCAAAGAUGGGCUACAUUUUCUGCUAUAGAAAAUACGAAUCAACUAUGAAACUAGAAACUAAAGGCGGAUUUAGCAGUAAGCUAACGACAAAAUACUUAGCUAAAACUACAGCAAUGAAGUGUGUACACACCGCCCGUCAUCCCUGUAAAACACCUAUAUAAUAUAUAAUACAUUUCAUAACCAAAACAGGGCAAGUCGUAACACGGUAAGCGUACUGGAAAGUGCGCUUAGAA
rnacentral:rRNA from 1 species